rnacentral:tRNA from 1 species
AGGGAAUUAGCAAAGUGGUAAUGCUCGGGACUCUGACUCCCGCACCGGUGGUUCGAUCCCAUCAUUCCCUG